rnacentral:rRNA from 1 species
CAGUAGCCACGGUAAUACGGAGGGAGCUAGCGUUGUUCGGAAUUACUGGGCGUAAAGCGCACGUAGGCGGUUAUUCAAGUCAGAGGUGAAAGCCCGGGGCUCAACCCCGGAACUGCCUUUGAAACUAGAUGACUAGAAUCUUGGAGAGGUCAGUGGAAUUCCGAGUGUAGAGGUGAAAUUCGUAGAUAUUCGGAAGAACACCAGUGGCGAAGGCGACUGACUGGACAAGUAUUGACGCUGAGGUGCGAAAGCGUGGGGGGCAAACAGGAUUAGAUACCCGAGUAGUCCCUGUCUCUUAUAC